rnacentral:rRNA from 1 species
UACGGGGGGGGUAAGCGUUGUUCGGAAUUACUGGGCGUAAAGGGCUCGUAGGCGGCCAACUAAGUCAUACGUGAAAUCCCUCAGCUUAACUGGGGAACUGCGUGUGAUACUGGUUGGCUUGAGUUUGGGAGAGGGAUGCGGAAUUCCAGGUGUAGCGGUGAAAUGCGUAGAUAUCUGGAGGAACACCGGUGGCGAAGGCGGCAUCCUGGACCAAUACUGACGCUGAGGAGCGAAAGCCAGGGGAGCAAACGGG